AGCGAACGCUGGCGGCAGGCUUAACACAUGCAAGUCGAACGCCCCGCAAGGGGAGUGGCAGACGGGUGAGUAACACGUGGGAACGUACCCUUUGGUUCGGAAUAACUUGGGGAAACUCAAGCUAAUACCGGAUAAGCCCUUAUGGGGAAAGGUUUACUGCCGAGGGAUCGGCCCGCGUCUGAUUAGCUAGUUGGGGAGGUAAUGGCUCACCAAGGCGACGAUCGGUAGCUGGUCUGAGAGGAUGAUCAGCCACACUGGGACUGAGACACGGCCCAGACUCCUACGGGAGGCAGCAGUGGGGAAUAUUGGACAAUGGGGGCAACCCUGAUCCAGCCAUGCCGCGUGAGUGAUGAAGGCUUUAGGGUUGUAAGGCUCUUUUACCCGGGACGAUAAUGACUGUACCGGGAGAAUAAGCCCCGGCUAACUUCGUGCCAGCCGCCGCCGUAA
rnacentral:rRNA from 1 species